UACGAAGGGGCUAGCGUUGCUCGGAAUCACUGGGCGUAAAGGGUGCGUAGGCGGGUCUUUAAGUCAGGGUGAAUCCUGGAGCUCAACUCCAGAACUGCCUUUGAUACUGAGGAUCUUGAGUAUGGGAGAGGUGAGUGGAACUGCGAGUGUAGAGGUGAAAUUCGUAGAUAUUCGCAAGAACACCAGUGGCGAAGGCGGCUCACUGGCCCAUACUGACGCUGAGGCACGAAAGCGUGGGAGCAAACAGG
rnacentral:rRNA from 1 species